GAUAAACGCUGGCGGCGUGCAUGAGACAUGCAAGUCGAACGGGCCUUUCAGGCUUGCUUGAAAGGCUAGUGGCGGACGGCUGAGUAACGCGUGGGUGACCUGCCCCGAAGUGGGGAAUAACUGCCCGAAAGGGUGGCUAAUACCGCAUGUGAUCACAUAUUCAUUUGUGUGAUCAAAGCAGUAAUGCGCUUUGGGAGGGGCCUGCGUCCGAUUAGCCGUUGGUGGGGUAAUGGCUCACCAAGGCGACGAUCGGUAGGUGGUCUGAGAGGACGAUCACCCAGACUGGGACUGAGACACGGCCCAGACUCCUACGGGAGGCAGCAGUGAGGAAUCAUUCGCAAU
rnacentral:rRNA from 1 species